UUGUAUACAUAAACCACAUCUUCUUUAUCCAUUCAUCUUUCGAUGGACACCGAGGCUCCUUCCAGUUUGGCUAUUGUGGACAUUGCUGCUAGAAACAUCGGGGUGCAGGUGUCCCGCACUGUUCAGUUUAAAUUGUAUUCCUUCUCUCUCAGUCCUCACAACCUAGGUUGUGGUUAGUAUCAAUAUCUUAAUACCAGCAUUCACAUAUGAAGGAACAUACACACAGGGAGAUUAAGGAACUUCUAGACAAACACAUAACUAAGAAGUGUCAGAAAUAAGAUUUUAUUCCAUUAGUUUGAUUCAGAAUCCUUGUUCUCAACUACUAUGCUGAAAGAAAAAACAAAGAAUGCACAACCAUGUAAAAAAGAGUUAUUAUGAUAAAAAUAAGGUAAAUAAAUGACAGAAAUGUGGGUGAAAUAUAUAAAUGGACAAUUUAUACUGGAAGAAAUAACAAUUGGCUAAUGUCCAUAUGAUACUGCUAUUGCCAGUUUCUCUAAAAAAGACAACUUUAAAUUACAAUGAAAUAUGCCUUUUCACUUAUAUUUUGCAGAAUAUGAAAAGAUUGAUACCAUUGUUGAUACAAACUUGAUAGAGGUCAAUUUCAUAGAACCUGUGAAAAAUGGGAAAUGCAUACAUCCUUUGAUCUUGCAACUCAACUUAAUAGAAAUCUAUUUUAAAGAAAUAGUCACACAUAUAUAUAUAAAUACUGUACAACAGCGUUUAUUGUAUCAUUAUUUGUAACAGUGAAAACUAGAAAACAACUGAGAUAUAUCAGCAGGGGAAUGCUUUAAUAAGUUCUAGUUUUCCAUACUAUUGAAUAUUAUGUAGCCACUUAAAAUCCAAGAACAAAGUAGAUCUAUAUUAAAUGUUAUGUUAUAAAAAAGUCUGCAACGUUCUGCAUGUUGUUAAAAACCAGGUUGCAUUAUGUUAUAUAUUUGGCAUAAUUAAAUUGAUUUAUUAAACUUGGAGAGGGGAGUCUUUUCAUUUACCUUCUAUAUUUGUAUAUAGAAAACAUCCUGGAAUAAAAUUCAUAAAAUAUUAACAUAGUUAUUAGGAGUAUUCAUGAAAAUUUAUGAAAGAUUUGAAUUUUGCUCUAAAUGCUUUGGUAUUAUUUAAAUGCAUUAGAAUAAGUAUGUCCCAUUAUAAUGCAAAUAGUAAAGUAAAAGUAUAAUGUAAAAAUAAAGUGAAAAGGAUAAAAGGAAGUAAGUACUGUACCAAAUGUAGAUAGCUUGUAACAGCAGAACUGUAAUUCAGGCUAAGUCCUGGUGACUUCAAAGUUAUUGGUGUUCUCUACUAUUCCAGUAUUCAAGAUACCAUAGAGCAUUACCGAACAUUGCUGCCGCUUCUUUGUAUAUUGUCUAUAAUAUUUAUAUUAAUUAUAUUUAUAUAUUCAUAAAAUAAGUGUAAAUAUUUAUAUAUCAUAUAUAAAAAUUGUAUAUAAUACAUAUUAUAUAUAAAUACUAUAUAUAUUGUUUUCCUAGAGACAUAUAUUACAACCUGUCAGGAAGGAGAUGAGACUUUAUUUUCCAACUUAUUUUCAAUCCUAGAUUCAUAUGAGAUUUUGACCAUGCAGUGGAAUGGAACAGGACGCACGGAGUGCCAUGUGGGAAUGGAAGCAGAGACUGGGUGAGGCCAAGUCAAGGAACACCGAAGAUUGCCAGCAAACUACUAAGAAGCUAGAAGAGGGGCAUGAAAUAGAUUUUUCCUCAAAAGGAGCAGAUCCUGCCAAAACUUGAUCUCAAACAAACUUCUAGCCUCAAAAAAGGUAAGACGAUAAAUUUCUCUUAUUUAAGCCACUCAAUUUGUGAUACUUUGUUUUUUUUUAAUUUUUUUAAAUUUAUUUUUUAAAUUUGUGGUACUUUGUUAUGGCAGCCCUGCAAACAAAUACAUUGGAUUUCAAAGUAAGUUGUGGGAAAAAUCAGAGUGAAGAUUCAUGUACUGGAUCAAGUGUGUGGUAGGUGAGAAAUCCUGGAAAUGUGGGUAAGAGAAUGUAGGCAGAGUCCACGCUAAUUGUCAAAGAGAGUGUCCUGUUCCGUUAUAUGCCAGCUCCCAGAAUGUGAAGCCAUUCUGUAACAUGCCAGUCAAGAAUUUAUUUGGUCCCCUUGCCUUCUCUCUUUACAGGAGAGGGAUAGAGAGAGAAACAGCUGACCCCCUGUUGCCUCCACCUGCUGCAGCCCUCCUUCAGCCUUGCCUGAGGCUCCUCAGUCCCCGGAGCAAGCUCUUUUUUCUGGCUGACCUGGAUUUUAUGGCAAACACACCUACCUGGAGAAAGUGUGCAGCCCUCCCUGUUGAGACACAAGGUGCUGAGUCACAAGGAACUGGAAGGCUCCAGAUGCCCAGGCGUGGCCCUGAGGGUGGUGUGGGCUUUAGUUAUUCCUGAACCCAAGAAACCAUGAAGCUCACAGUUCAUCAUGUCAGUUUCCAAUAUCAACUGAUGUAACUGGUGAUGUUGGUAGUGAUUUAACUGGUGUCUGCACCAACACAGGGACGGACACUUGGACACUCAGAAUUUCCUAACAGAGAAUUCCAACAUUGUCAGAUAAUGUUUGGGGCAAAACUGUUUCUCCAGGUUAUGAUGUAAUCCACACGGAAAUACUCUUAAUCUAAUAUUCUGAAGGAAAACAACCAAAUGAACAUUACUAUUGUUCUUUUGAAAAAUCUAUAGCAUUCUUUGAACAUGUCAAGUCACUGAGAGGGAAUGCAAAAGAGCAGUACCAGUAAGGCUACAACCACUACAGACACCAGUAUAACUUCUGCUAAACCUAAAACCACCAUAGCCAGCACUAUAACUUCUACAAACUUACACCCACCACGGCCACCACUACAAUUUCUAAUGAACCUGCAACCACCACAGCCACCAAUGUUGCCUCUAAUGAACCUACAACCAGCACUACAGCCACCAUGUCAUCUGAACCUAAUACCACAACUACUCCCAGCACUACCGCUGAUGCUAACAACCGUCACUAUCACCACUACAACUUCUACCAAACCUCCAACCAGCAGGGCCAACAGUACCACUUUUAUGGAACUUACAACCACCAUAGCCACCAAUAUGACAUCUACCAAACCUACAACAACCACAGCCACAAACAUCAUCUCUACUGAGUAGAACUCCCACAGCAGCUACCACAGCAUCUGAACAGACCACCAGAACUACAGCUAGUGCUACCACUGAGGCUACAACCACCAUGGCCACCAUUACAACCUCUCCUGAACCUAUAACUACCAUGGCCACCACUAGUGCCUCUGUGAGGCCUACAACCACUAUAGAGCCACAACUUCAUCUUUACUGACUAUCACAACAACUGCCAGCACUACCACUGAGGCUACAGCCACCACAGCCGUGACUACUACUACUUCUGAACCAAGAGCCACCAUAGCAGCUACCAUUUCAUCUUAACCAACUACUAGGACACCUGUUGGCAUGGCCACGAGGCUAAAAUUCCAACAGUCCCCACUACUGUUUCUAAUAAACCUAUAACCACAAGACUUGCCACCACUUCAAGUGAACUGCUUCUGCGAUGACUAGAAUGUAACUGCUGUCACUUUUGCUGAAUAUUCUGUUAUCAGAUUCCAGUACACCAGUUCAGCCCUUUCUACUCCAUAUUGCAAUCCCUACCACCACUGUUGAAGUUACAACUACAUAAAUCAUCCAGAAACUUCCAGCCAGCUCUGAAUCGUUCCCGUUUCAAAUAAACCUGUCAUCACCAUCAGUUUAACAGGAUUUCUAGACCCUACUCUGCUCCCCAACAGAAUUUACAUUAUUUGCUGUAGCUACCUCCACUUCUGUGACUGAAUCUAGUCUACUUUCUUUUUUUUUCUUUCUUUCUUUCUUUCUUUUUUUUUUUUUUUUUUUUGAGUUUCGGAGUUUUAUUCAU